GUCUAAGUACAUACCUUAAAACGGUGAAACCGCGAAUGGCUCAUUAAAUCAGCUAUGGUUCCUUGGAUCGUACAUACUACAUGGAUAACUGUAGUAAUUCUAGAGCUAAUACAUGCCACUAAGCCCUGACCCGCAAGGGGACGGGUGGAUUUAUUAGAACAGAACCAACCGGUUGUGGCUUCGGUCAUGGCCGUUGUACUCUGUGAUGACUCUGGAUAACUUUACUGAUCGCAGUCGGCCUUGUGCCGGCGACGGAUCUUUCAAAUGUCUGCCCUAUCAAUUGUCGAUGGUAGGUGACCUGCCUACCAUGGUGAUAACGGGUAACGGGGAAUCAGGGUUCGAUUCCGGAGAGGGAGCCUGAGAAACGGCUACCACUUCUAAGGAAGGCAGCAGGCACGCAAAUUACCCAAUCCCGGCACGGGGAGGUAGUGACGAUAAAUACGGAUACGGGACUCAAAAGAGGCUCCGUAAUUCGAAUGAGUACAAUUUAAAUCCUUUAACGAGGACCAACUGGAGGGCAAGUCUGGUGCCAGCAGCCGCGGUAACUCCAGCUCCAGAAGCGUAUAUUAAAGUUGUUGCAGUU
rnacentral:rRNA from 1 species